AGAUUGAACGCUGGCGGCAGGCCUAACACAUGCAAGUCGAGCGGUAGAGAGGUGCUUGCAUCUCUUGAGAGCGGCGGACGGGUGAGUAAUGCCUAGGAAUCUGCCUAGUGGUGGGGGAUAACGUUCGGAAACGGACGCUAAUACCGCAUACGUCCUACGGGAGAAAGCGGGGGACCUUCGGGCCUCGCGCCAUUAGAUGAGCCUAGGUCGGAUUAGCUAGUUGGUGAGGUAAUGGCUCACCAAGGCGACGAUCCGUAACUGGUCUGAGAGGAUGAUCAGUCACACUGGAACUGAGACACGGUCCAGACUCCUACGGGAGGCAGCAGUGGGGAAUAUUGGACAAUGGGCGAAAGCCUGAUCCAGCCAUGCCGCGUGUGUGAAGAAGGUCUUCGGAUUGUAAAGCACUUUAAGUGGAGAAGGUUGUAACCUAAUACGUUGCAACUUUGACGUUACGACAGAAUAAGCACCGGCUAACUUCGUGCCAGCAGCCGUACG
rnacentral:rRNA from 1 species